rnacentral:rRNA from 1 species
GAGCGGAAACGAUCCUAGCUUGCUAGGAGGCGUCGAGCGGCGGACGGGUGAGUAACGCAUAGGAAUCUGCCCGGUAGUGGGGGAUAACCUGGGGAAACCCAGGCUAAUACCGCAUACGUCCUACGGGAGAAAGCAGGGGAUCUUCGGACCUUGCGCUAUCGGAUGAGCCUAUGUCGGAUUAGCUUGUUGGUGAGGUAACGGCUCACCAAGGCAACGAUCCGUAGCUGGUCUGAGAGGAUGAUCAGCCACAUCGGGACUGAGACACGGCCCGAACUCCUACGGGAGGCAGCAGUGGGGAAUAUUGGACAAUGGGCGAAAGCCUGAUCCAGCCAUGCCGCGUGUGUGAAGAAGGCCUUCGGGUUGUAAAGCACUUUCAGUGAGGAAGAAAGCCUUGAGGUUAAUACCCUUGAGGGAGGACAUCACUCACAGAAGAAGCACCGGCUAACUCCGUGCCAGCAGCCGCGGUAAUACGGAGGGUGCGAGCGUUAAUCGGAAUUACUGGGCGUAAAGCGCGCGUAGGCGGCUUGAUAAGCCGGUUGUGAAAGCCCCGGGCUCAACCUGGGAACGGCAUCCGGAACUGUCAGGCUAGAGUGCAGGAGAGGAAGGUAGAAUUCCCGGUGUAGCGGUGAAAUGCGUAGAGAUCGGGAGGAAUACCAGUGGCGAAGGCGGCCUUCUGGACUGACACUGACGCUGAGGUGCGAAAGCGUGGGUAGCAAACAGGAUUAGAUACCCUGGUAGUCCACGCCGUAAACGAUGUCGACUAGCCGUUGGGCUCCUUGAGAGCUUUGUGGCGCAGUUAA